rnacentral:rRNA from 1 species
UACAGAGGUCUCAAGCGUUGUUCGGAUUCAUUGGGCGUAAAGGGUGCGUAGGCGGCGCGGUAAGUCGGGUGUGAAAUCGUCGGGGCUUAACUCCGAAACUGCAUUCGAUACUGCCGUGCUUGAGGACUGGAGAGGAGACUGGAAUUUACGGUGUAGCGGUGAAAUGCGGUAGAUAUCGUAAGGAAGACCAGUGGCGAAGGCGGGU